CAAUUUUUCAGGGCUGCAGGUGGAGGACAAGGUCCUGCUCCUGCCUGGUGAGUGAUUGAUGGUGCUGAAAUGGAAGAGUUUCAUCCCUACAGCUUGCAGAGGAUGCAGCAUUGUCCCAAAACUUCACCUUGUGGUUUGCAGCAAUUUGCAGAAGAAAUCUGAUAAAAUGGGAGCAUUCAAAAAGCAAACUGAGAUCAUGUGGCUGCUUCAUGUGGAGGUGAAACUGUUCAGCAGUGCUACUGAGAAGGCACAGAAGAGAUCAGGUGUAAUCACAGAGCAGAGAUGAACUUCUUUUUCUUUUUUUUUGGAUAAUCCAAGUCUAUGUAUUAAAAUACACAUUUUGAUUUGGGAA